rnacentral:snoRNA from 1 species
UGGGCCACUGAUGAGUACCAUGGGGUAUCUGAACCAGGAUAUUUUGAUUACACCAUGUAUCUCUGAGGUCCUU